ACGAUGCUGGCCAUUUACGGUCAGGGCUAACUGUUGCCUGAAGAAGGGGAAG
ncrna:Salmonella enterica subsp. enterica serovar Bareilly str. 06-0784 algC RNA